GGGUGGAACUAGAGGAGGGGGGUGGGGGGUGGCGGCUAAUAGAGAUGUUUUGCUGGCAAGCCAAUUAGACGGCAUGAGAUAAUGAAGGCAUCUACGCUGCUACAAGGUUACCUGGAAUAUCAUCUGCAUACCAAACUGUGCCUGGAUUGUCCGUUAUGAAAACAUCUUGCCUGAGCCCCAUUGGUUGCCCGAAGUAUCAUGGAAGCAGUCUAUAUCAUUUGAUGUUGCUUUUUGAUCUUGGACUGGAGAAGGAUAAACAUGCUAAGUUUAAACUCGGACAAUCUGGAGAUGCCAUUGGUCACCAUUU